rnacentral:rRNA from 1 species
UCCUAGCCGUAAACGAUGAACGCUGGGUUGAGGGGGCUAUCACACCUUCUCGGCCGUAGCGAAAGCGUUAAGUGUUCCGCCUGGGGAGUAUGGUCGCAAGGCUGAAACUCGAAAGGAAUUGACGGGGGCUCACACAAGCGGUGGAGGAUGUGGCUUAAUUCGAGGACACGCGAAGAACCUUAUCCUAGAUUUGACAUGUUUUAGAACACCUUGGAAACUUGGUGGUGCCCUUCGGGGAG